rnacentral:tRNA from 1 species
AGGGCCAUCGUAUAGUGGCAGUACAGCGGUCUCCAAAACCGCUGGCGGGGGUUCGAUUCCUCCUGGCCCUGCCA